UGGCUUCCUUUAUUGGAUGGUCUGCUCCCUUUAAAUUCAUUAGUGGGAUCCUUUGUGGAUGGUCACUUGGUGUGAUAAUUAUCUACGCCGCCUGACUCUGAAACAAGAAUUGUGGGGACCUGCUCAUAACCGUCUCUUCAAGGGACAAUUUAUAUUGACAAUUUGACCUCAAAUCAGGUAGGACUACCCGCUGAACUUAA
rnacentral:misc_RNA from 1 species